rnacentral:rRNA from 1 species
ACGGAAAGGCCCUUCGGGGUACUCGAGUGGCGAACGGGUGAGUAACACGUGGGUGAUCUGCCCUGCACUUUGGGAUAAGCCUGGGAAACUGGGUCUAAUACCGAAUAGGACCGCAUGCUUCAUGGUGUGUGGUGGAAAGCUUUUGCGGUGUGGGAUGGGCCCGCGGCCUAUCAGCUUGUUGGUGAGGUAAUGGCUUACCAAGGCGACGACGGGUAGCCGGCCUGAGAGGGUGACCGGCCACACUGGGACUGAGAUACGGCCCAGACUCCUACGGGAGGCAGCAGUGGGGAAUAUUGCACAAUGGGCGCAAGCCUGAUGCAGCGACGCCGCGUGAGGGAUGACGGCCUUCGGGUUGUAAACCUCUUUCGCCAGGGACGAAGCGCAAGUGACGGUACCUGGAGAAGAAGGACCGGCCAACUACGUGCCAGCAGCCGCGGUAAUACGUAGGGUCCGAGCGUUGUCCGGAAUUACUGGGCGUAAAGAGCUCGUAGGUGGUUUGUCGCGUUGUUCGUGAAAACUCACAGCUUAACUGUGGGCGUGCGGGCGAUACGGGCAGACUUGAGUACUGCAGGGGAGACUGGAAUUCCUGGUGUAGCGGUGGAAUGCGCAGAUAUCAGGAGGAACACCGGUGGCGAAGGCGGGUCUCUGGGCAGUAACUGACGCUGAGGAGCGAAAGCGUGGGGAGCGAACAGGAUUAGAUACCCUGGUAGUCCACGCCGUAAACGGUGGGUACUAGGUGUGGGUUUCCUUCCUUGGGAUCCGUGCCGUAGCUAACGCAUUAAGUACCCCGCCUGGGGAGUACGGCCGCAAGGCUAAAACUCAAAGAAAUUGACGGGGGCCCGCACAAGCGGCGGAGCAUGUGGAUUAAUUCGAUGCAACGCGAAGAACCUUACCUGGGUUUGACAUGCACAGGACGCCGGCAGAGAUGUCGGUUCCCUUGUGGCCUGUGUGCAGGUGGUGCAUGGCUGUCGUCAGCUCGUGUCGUGAGAUGUUGGGUUAAGUCCCGCAACGAGCGCAACCCUUGUCUCAUGUUGCCAGCACGUUAUGGUGGGGACUCGUGAGAGACUGCCGGGGUCAACUCGGAGGAAGGUGGGGAUGACGUCAAGUCAUCAUGCCCCUUAUGUCCAGGGCUUCACACAUGCUACAAUGGCCGGUACAAAGGGCUGCGAUGCCGUGAGGUGGAGCGAAUCCUUUCAAAGCCGGUCUCAGUUCGGAUCGGGGUCUGCAACUCGACCCCGUGAAGUCGGAGUCGCUAGUAAUCGCAGAUCAGCAACGCUGCGGUGAAUACGUUCCCGGGCCUUGUACACACCGCCCGUCACGUCAUGAAAGUCGGUAACACCCGAAGCCGGUGGCCUAACCCCUUGUG